UGUGACAGCAUCAGACAUUUCCUUAGCCCUUCCUAGAUUCCAGGCAUUGUACAAGGGCUCUACUGUAGCUCACUGGAUUUCUACAGUCCAGUGAGAAGCUCGGAUGGGAAGGAAGGCAGAGCUUUAGAGGUUCAGUAGCUUAAGGGGAAGCUUGUGUGUGUGUGUGUGUGUGUGUGUGUGUGUGUGUGUGUAUACACCCGUGCUGAGCGCAUGUGCGUGUCGCUGGGUGGAGUCGGGGUGUUAGCCAAUGAGUACCUUAGCUCUUAGCUGCUGUAGUCUGUUCUGGUUGCCUUUUAAUCUCAGCCUUCUUCUAAGUGUGACGUAGAUGAGUGCCUCUGCAUCCUGGUUUUUUUGUUUUGUUUUGUUUUGUUUUGUUUGUUUUUUUGGUUUUUUUUUGUUUUUUGUUGUUGUUUUGUCACCUGUGGACGCCAUUAUUGCUGGGGCUUCUACCUUUGAAACUGUAAAUAUUUCCAGCUACAGCACAACAAACAAUGCCUGGUCUGGUUUGUUCUUGCUUUCAAGCAAUCUCUCAGACUCUGGCUUUGUUUUCCAGGCUAUUUGCCUUGAUGGAAUUAAUAACGCUAUCGAUGACGGAUGUUGGGGCCAUUAGAUUCGCUUGUGUGUGGAGUGGUUCACAGUGCCCCUGGAGCAUACUGAGUGUCACAGAAGUGUUGACUUAAAGCAUCAACCACUUGUGACUCCCAAAUGGGAGCUUUCUUCCAUCGGUGUCGAAUACAAACUGAGUCAGAGCAAGCGAGUCAGAGCAAGCCUUCCAAAGCUGCAUUUUUAGAUGCUACCGGUUGUAUAAUUUGUCCCCCUUUUAUCUGUAGUCUGAAUUAUAUUUGCAUUGAGAGUCUUUUUUUUAAUGAAAUAUAUAUAUGUAUAUUUUAUCAUCUUUCUGACCCUAUGGAAAUUUCAGUUUUGUUUUAAUUUAAUUUCAGUUUCUUAGGAUCUUUAUCUGGAGCAGCUUUUGUUUUUGAAUUGUCCUAUGACGGGUCAAACUGUGUUCAUUGGCUCUGCUGCAGCGUCUGAAUUACAAAAGUUUGCCAUCGAAAUCUGCCGAAGGGUUUCUUUCUUGGUGCCCAAGUUGCAGGGAGACCCGCUUCUAGGCAGCUGUGUUCACGAUGAAUAGUGGAGUUUUACAUGACAUCACGAGAUCCACAGUUUGGAGACACAGAAGUUUGUUCUGUUCUUUUGGCUGGAGAACACAGUUCUUCCCGGGAACUGUAGCCACAAUGCUGGGCUUGGGUUUUAUUAAUAUCCUUGUAGAUUGAAAACAAAAUGUUUUCCUCUGAGUCUUCGUUCUCUUCCAUUUGGCAAACAUUUUGACUUGUCACAUGAGCUAAUGUGUCUCAUUCCCUUGUUUGCCUGUGCCCUGGUGACAGUCUUUGGAAGGUGUACGCUCCUGGGAAUAAGUGAGAUGCCGGAAUACUUGUUUACCUCAUAGCACAUACUCAAUAUGCCAUAGGUGUUAUAUGCAAGGCUGGCUGCCCCUCCCACAUUUCCUGCCUCAAGCCAUAAUCACAUAAAUAAUAAGAGCAAUGGUAACUAACGGCUAAGAUAAGCUUUCAAAACUGUGCGAUCCAAGAAUGUCAAAUUGAGUGCCACGAAACUGCCCAUUACAGAGGUGAGUGGCUGGAUUAAACUGAUCAAGAGAGAGAUCAGGUUCUGAAGCAUGGAUUGCACGUGUGUCCUUGUGGCUGCUGAGUAAGUGGUGUGCAAGGUAAAAGGAUGAGGUGUGAAGAGAUAAGCAAGAAUCCGAGGGUUGCUCGUAGGCUGUGUCAGUCUGAGCUUUCUGCUGAGUUGAAGGCCCUCAGGCUGCCUUGGUCCCUGCUGCUGCCUUCUCAUAGAAGGGAGAUCCUUGCAGGUGUUCCUUGCAGGGCAUCCUAAGGAAGGAGACUGAUUACAAGAUAGCAUAGAGGUCCUCAGAGGAGGGGGUGUGGAUACAAACCCAACCCGGGCACAUUGUUGAGUUCAAGGCGUUUACAUGUGUAAUCAGCAGAGGUCAGAGGACAACUUGUAGGGAUGGAUUCUCUCCUUCCCUCAUGUUCCAGGACUGACAGACUCAGGUUGGCAGAACUGGGAGAGCCUUCACCCACUGAGCUUCUCACCAACCCUCCUCAUUCUCAUCUUUCUGAAACAGGAUCUCAUCUUAUCACAUCAAGUUGACUAGGUUGACUGUGAGUUCUAGCCCAGGUUAGCCUUGAACUUGUGAUCUUCCUACCAGGCUGUGCCACUCAGUCCCGAACUGUAUAAUUGUACCUGUCACAUGACUUUGAGUAACCUGAUAGGUAGUUAGAUAGUUAAGAUUUCUCUCACUUGGAUUUUUUUUAAAGAUUUAUUUAUUUAUUUAUUUAUUUAUUUAUUUAUUUGCUUAUUUAUUUAUUUAUGUGUACAAAUGUUUUGCCUGCAUGCAUGUCUUUGUACUACACGUGUGAUUUUUGAUGCUUACAGGUGCCAGUUACAUAUGGUGUUGAGCCACCAUAUAGGUGCUGGGAAUAGAACCCUGGUCCUCUGGAAGAUCAGCCACUCUUAACCACUGAGCCAUCUUUCUAGGUCCCUCUCAUUUGGAUUUUGUUAGAAUUGGUGUGAUGAACACAGGAUAAUUAUCAUUUUUCCUCUCUCAAGUCCCCUCUACCAGAAAAGAAUUUUUUAAAAGAUGUAUGUAUGUAUAUAUGUAUGUAUUUAUAUGAAUACACUGUAGCUGUCCUCAGACAAACCAGAAGAGGGCAUCGGAUCCCAUUACGGAUGGUUGGGAGCCACCAUGUGGUUGCUGGGAUUUGAACUCGGGACCUCUGGAAGAGCAGUCAGUGCUCUUAACCACUGAACUAUCUCUCCAGUUCCCCCAAAAGAAUUUAUACCCCAAGCUCCCAGUGUUGUUGGGCACUUGUUCCUCCAACAAAGCGAUGUUGUCCCUGAGUUGAGGACUCUCAGAGCAGCUGUAGAAGCUCGUAGGGGACUCAUGACAAUACCCACACCCUACUAACAUAAUAAGCAAGUAUCUAAUGAGUAAGGGUUCAAGCAUGUAUACCUCCAGAUAGAAGCAGCAGGUGGUUUAGAGAGCCUCUGGUCUGAGGAUGCUGGGGAACACAGUACAGGAGGCCAGCAGUGAUUUGGACAGAGCACUGCAGCAGGAAGAGUGGCAGGUGGAUCAGACUGUGACUCUAAAGCCGUGGGUAGGUGACGGUUGACAAACCUGAGUUGAGAAAUGGAUUAGGUCAUGGGAAAGCACAUAGCAGGGCUCUUGUGAGUAUUGUAUUUCCUUGGAGAAAUAAAGCCCAUGAGAUAAGCGUUCUCAUCAGCCUCAUCCUGCUGAUGAAAGAAGCAAGACUCAGAGAUAAGUCACUGAUGGUGACAGUGCAGGCAGGGCAGCUGGUCUUCAGAGGGGUCCUAUUGUACCACCUGCUUCUAUGUCCUCCACUCACUUGUGUGGCCAGUCACCCUGAACAUUUCCUCUGCUCUCCUCUCUAAAGGAAAUCCAAAUGACCUUUGCCAUUCUUUUCUACCUAUGUUUAUUUUUUCUACAAUCACCACCAUAAGUAAGGAUCCAUGGAGCAAAGACAUUACCAGGUCUCAGAGGAGGGAAGAAACAAAUCCCUCUGGGCUGGGUUGACCAAUCAAACAACUUAGUCGGGGAGAGUUUCCCAAUACCACCCUCCCAAAUAAACCGUUGAGUUAGUAGUUGUCAAGCAUAGGGUACAACUGAGAUAAUUAACUUUAAACAUUUUAUUAUCUUAGUAAUCUUGGCUCCCCUAGGAUAGAAACCAUAUUUUACAUAUCUCUGAGUGCCCAGCCCUUCACAAAGCCUGAGAUGGAUUUGCUGUAUAAUUGAUGUUUGUUGGGUAAGGUGGGCUAAAUACAUGUGUAGGUGUUGGCUAGAGUCUUUUCACAACCCUUCCUAUUCUUUUAAGUACAUGUUCCUAUGACUUGACCAACGAAAAAGAGCAAAGCUAACACCUGGUAUUAUUCCAAAUACUACGGUUCUAACAUUCCGCGUGGAAUGACUACGGUUCUAACAUUCUGUGUGGAAUGUAGAACUUGGGGUGGGGGCUGUGAUGGAGAACAGCUGUAUUACACAUCAUUUCUCCAAUACUUCCACACAGAUUUUGCCCUCAUGAAGACCAGAAGUACUGAAUCCUCCCCACCCCUCCCCCCUGGUUCAGGCUGCGGUGGGUAGGUCCACACAACUGCUUCCUCUAUGUUUCCUUCAGCCCCUUCAUCUGUCCUUUGGCACAGACAUCUUUCUGAUGUAAACACUGCUUUGAUGCCAAACCCUAGGACCCGACAGGCCCUUUAGAAAGACUGGGAUAAACAGGCAUUGUAACUCCAGAGAACAUCCCAGGUUCGCCAUUCAUGCCCGCCUCUGAGGAUCCAGAGAGUGAGUGCCAGGCUUACAGAAGAGUCACAGAAAACUGGCAAGCCAUCUGCAGUUAACCACAGCAAUAAAUGAACACAAAGGAAACCCGUGGUGGUAUCAAGGUCUAAGCGCCAUUUCAGCAGUCCAGUUAGCGCCUGCUACCCCGUUACCCAGUGUCUCGAUUCUUAAUGAUCUUAAGCGAAACUGAUGCUAUGUCUACAGCCUGCAGAUAGAGUGAUUAAAGGAAGUGAAAUGCUUUACUUUAUAGAGGCGUUUUUAAAAAAGCCAGAUUAAAACAUGAGGUAAAAUUUUGCCUAAAAUUUGUUAUAGUUUUAGAAGAACUUGCUCUAUUUUUAUAGUGAAAUAUGAUGUAAUAUAAAAACACUGUUUGGGCUCGGAGAACCUAGCCUUCAUACUGCUUCUGUGUAAGAAUGUGUCCACCCUGGAGUUAACCUUGCUCCCAAGUGACCAGCACCACAGAGGGCUGUGCCCCCAAGUCAGCCUGUGGCAUGGGCCGUCUCAUAGACAGUGUUUCCUGUUCGGCUCUCUGUGUCUCAUUCCUUUGAAUGUCUUGGCCAUGCAUUUAAGUGCCUUUGGUCUUUACCGCCACUUUAAAUUUUUGUUCUCAUGGCUUACAUAUGGGAUUUGUGCACAGCCUCCUCUCUUCUGGUUCUUGGUCUUCUAGUUGACUGUAAAUACCCUGAGAAGCAGAGGUGAAGGUGCCACUUCCUCGUAGCAUCUCUCUUGUCCCAUAGGAGGCGCUCUCCUGUGCUGUGUACUUGUCUGCCCCUGUCUGAAAAGAACUCUUCAUUUUAACCAUCGUUAUUUCAAUAGGAGUUUAUUCUGUUUUCCAAAUAGCCAAUUUACAAAGAACCGAACUUCUGAAACACAACACCUUACGUAGACUGAGGACUUCCUGCAACGAGAUCCAACUCUAGCAGGAGGCUUUUGUUACAAACCUAAUCUUGAUAUCCUGUGGCCCCACCUGAAUGCCACUGUAAUUGCCUUCAGAAUGCACCCUGCCAUCAGCUCUGAAAGCUGUCUUUCUAGACACAUCCUUUCUAGGGCUCUGUAGCUUUCCAAACUCUUAGACCGAACGUCUAAGUCAGGGUGUUCUUCCUUCUUAACUGUUGAUCUAAUUUUGCAAAGUGAGUAAAGAGAUUAACUUUAAUGUGUUGGUCUACUACCCUUAAUAAUCAUGUUGGUAACUAAAUAAUUUUAAUUUCAAAAUGUACAUUCAAGCCUUCUGUUGGGUCUGCACAUUAACCUCAUACCUGUAUAAGCCACAGUACUUUCAAAAGCGCACAUCAAAGUAAUUGUUUUGCCUGGCGCCUGUGCAAAUUUCUGCUGGGACCUGCCCUAUUUAAUAUAAAUUAUAUUACCUGUGGCGUUUAAGAGGGUGUAAGGUAUACUAUGCCCCACAGGCAGGAAGUUUAAACUAUGGGUUGAUUUUUCCCCCCAAUCUCAGAUUUGUUCCUGUUAUGCAGAAUAUUUAGCAUCCCUGGUUUUCUGUUUAAUCUUUCUACAGGCAUCUUUUGAAUUUUGCCUUCACAGGCAAGACAAAUUCUAAUUUUCUUAUAUCCUUUUAGGCUAAGAGUGACAAAUUCUCAUGUCAGGGAUACACUUUAGAAGAGGAAGGAAGGGUCAAAGGGAAGGAGUGGGGGAAAGAGGGAAAGAGGGAAAGAAGGAAAGAGGGAGAGUGGUAAAGGUAAUGACAUAAAACCAGGGCUCUCUGACCAAAUUAACCAAAGCAUUGUGCUUCUAGCAUGACGUCAUGCCUCUGCUCUGUCCACACUUGACAUCAUACCCAAAGUACAGCAUCUAUAAGCAGAAACCCAGAGACAGAAUCGUGUGCAAAUCUAUUCAACACAGUCCAAGACAUUAGCCUCCAAAUCUGUGUCAGACCACGUGAUCACUCAGCAUUGGGGUGGAAAGCUGCAGACCUUCACAGGAGUCCGCACUUCCCAGACUCACUGUGUUACUCAUCUAUAGCCCAUGGAGGUCCUUUGGUUGGAGACUGUACACGUUGUGUUUUGGGCAUUGAACUUAAAGACUAUCCACUUUUAGUAGGACAGAGAAAAGGGUAAAUUAAGGUAGCAGCAGAGAGUAGAGGAUAUUUGAACAUGGGUAGAAAGGAAAGUGAGAACAGGAAAUGGAAAGAAGUCAUGGGAGGAGGCUAGGGAGGCUACUUAAUAAAGAAGCAUGCCUCACCCAGGCUCCUUGGUGUCAGGAUGGUCCCAUUUACCACAGUUCUGCCUCAUUGAAGACAAAGGCUAUGUAACCACUGUUCUACGGUUGACUAAACUGAGAAGCUCAAAUUCAAUGCUCCAGUUUCUGAAAUACGGACUGAGCGUAGUGAUGACUAGUCACUGAAUGCCAGUAGCAGGGGGAACUGUUUGAUAAUUUUCUGUAGACCCCUCUUCUUUUGCUUAGUAGAGCCCCUACAGGCUCUGCAGCAAGGGCCAGAGUAGUAGGAGGACAAGAAACAGUGGGAAGUCCUGACAAGUAACUCAGGCAUUUCAUUCUUUUUAGUAGUGUGCGCUAAAAUACAAAAUGGGUUUUGGUAUAACUUUCCUUACAUGUGCAUGAAGCAGUUCCAUUGUGUUCAACCCCCACCCCCACAAACCCUUCAUUUUAGAACAACACUCUGUAUAUCCAAAGCACUUGGGAUAUUUAGUAAUUAUAGUAUUUAAGGCCAACUUAAAAAGUUACUGAAAAUGUCUCCGGGCCCCAUGGUUGGAUGCAGGGAAGAUCCCAGUCUUGUCACAGAAAGUAGAUACUCGAAAGUUAGACUAACAAAUGCACACCUCUACGCUUGGCAUUAAAGUUAGUUUUCAGAUUAAAGGAUGAAUUAAUAAUUGGGCUGGUUGUUCAGAGAAUCGGGCUCCUAAAAACCUUUACACACUUCCCUGCUUCCCCGGAAGCAGGUGAUAGAGCAGUUAGCUCCCACAUCCUCGUCAGAGCUUCUCUGCUGGCGCACCGCUUGGCAGAGCGCCAAGGCAAGCUGUGCAGUGACAACAAGAUUAGAAUGCAGGAAGCAGGCUGGGUCACAGUCACUAAGCUCUGUGCCUGUUUCUCCUAUUGUCUUAUCCUGGUCAAUCCCAUGCUAAAUACUGACAGCUAACACCAGCUACCCACAAAGCCAAGACUCCAAAGAGCACUGGUUCAUUUGAAUUUCCAUCAAUAACAAAUGGAACUCCUUUUAGCCUCUCAUCUUACCUGGUCACCCUUGUCACAUUUGAGAGGGUGGAGUCUAUUACAUUAUAAAGAAUCCCCACAUUUCUCCUGACACACAGACCCAGGGCAUUUUUUGGAGGAAAUAGUGACACACAGAAUGGUAAAGUUUCUGUGUCGCCGAAUAUCCAAGAUUUGGGAUUCACUACGUAUAGCUGUAUGCUUAUUAACAAUUUCAUGCUUGAAAUUACUUUAUGAUCGUGACCAAAGAGGAAUGAGGCAACUGCAGGGGUAUCCUGUUAUGAAAGACUAAUUUCUAUGAGCUGCAGCACACACGUGCACACACAUAUAUAGACACCCAUGUAUACAUGCACACACAUAUAUACAUGUAUAUAUACACACCUGUGCAAUGCACAUAUAUGUAUAUAUGCACAGAUACACAACACAACACAUGUGUACAUUUGUAACUAUACAAAUAUACAUAUUGUGUAUAUGAUCGCAUAUAUAUGCACACACUAUAUACACAUAUGCGUAUGAAUAUGCGCAUUUGGAAGCCCUGUGUGUAGGAUUACAGUGGUGAUGCUUGGACACUGCCUAUGCUUUCUUCUCUGUAGCCUUUCUGAUCUCUGUGAAAUCCUCAAACACCCCACAGUUGUGUUCCCCACCACCCUCCACAGAAUGAUCCUGAAGGCAAACAAUAGGUAUUUAAAUUAUUUUUAUUUGUGUCCGUAAGCUAAAUUAAUUUUUAAAAAUUAAUGUUAAAGUGAAAUCGGCAUGUCUCUAUAGUCAGGAAUUAGCCUCCCUCAAAGUACACUAAUGUAAAACUUUUCAACACAGCAAAAAUAGACCCGACCCUGUGACCUCAUCUGUGUUAAAUUUGAAUAAAUGAAUGAAUAAGCAAAUGAAGGAAAGAAUGUUUUCUGGACACCGAGUAGGUUUCAACAAAGAACAGAGCUUUCAGACAUUGUUCUCCGUGUGUCCAAAAUGAGUCUCACUGGCGUGUGUGCAGGAUGACGUCAGUGGCCGGGAUACAGGGUUCGUCUGUUGUUCUGUUCCUCGGGAUUGUUCAUUGUGUUUAUCAGUUCUUCCGCCACCCGAGGAAGCAAUCUCUAGAAUUACAGUCAUUCACAUGGAUGUUAAAAGAACGAGCCAAGGUAGCACGGUUGACAGGCAGCCAGCCCUCACAGUGAGUUUGGCAGACCAGGCUAAAAUUCCGAGGGGUGGAGGGUGUCUUGGGUUUGAAAUCAAUUCAAGGACUUCAAUUUGGACCUGAGCUCUGUUGGUUUUUUGCUAGAUGGCUCCUUAGCUUUACUGGAUCACAGCUUUCACAAGACUGAAGUGUAGAUUGUCAUAGGAUAUUGUCCGCUAUAUAGUGGGACACAGUGGGCCAAUACAGUAUUUUAAAUGGGAACAUUAUUAAAACUACAUAAAUACCAAGUUUUUAAAAAAUUAACUCUUCUGGAAGUACAAAAAAAAAAGUGCUCAGUUAGCCUUUAAAUGGUUUAAUGCAUUCUGACCAUUCUCCAAUUCUUCCAUUUGAAUAAAAAUCUGUAUAGUGUGAAAAUAUCUUUGGAAUUAUACCAGACUUUCUUUGUUAGUGUUACAGAGCGAGUGUGCGUGUCCAUGCGUGCGUGCCUGUACACAUAUGAGUCAAGGGUUAACCGAAGGUAUUUCCCCACACAUUGUCCACCCUGUGUUUUGUGACAGUCUCGUAGUCAGACCUGAGCUUGCUGAUUCGGUUAUGAUGGUAGCCCAUGAAACCCUCUUGCCAGCGAUCCUCCUGCUUCUGCUUCCCCAUUGCUAAGAUUACAAGCAUGCACCUCUAUUGUUGCGGAUUAUUUACCAGAGAAUUGCUCAAGCUCAGACUUGAGUUUAAGCCAAUAGAAAGGCUUUAUGAGCCAGCCAGCGGCUACACUGGGUGUUUGGGAUCACAGUGUAGCCCGGAACCUUCUUAGGGCAUGGUUUAAGCAUGUAAACCAUGUUCUGGGUUGACAAACUUCAAUGAACAAGAACAGUUAGCCAGAAGUGGAGCUACAGAAGCUAAAAGUUAAGGUUAGUGCAUCUUGAGACUUUCCUGGAACUAUAUGGAUUUUGGUAGCUGGGGUCUUUGUUUUAGUUUUGGCAGGGGUGCUGUCUGUCUACCAGCUGAUUCUCACAGCCUGAAUGGUACUUCUACCAUGGAACAGUGCAAAGGUCUCAGAGACUACUCAGGUCUAAGGCCUGUUAUGGUAUACCCAGCUUUAUGCGGUGCUUGGGGUCAAACUCAGCUCCUCAUGAUUGCAUGGGAGGAACGUUACCGACGGAGACCGCUCUCCGCUAGAUGUGCUUACAGCUCUCGUCACUAUUGUGAUCACAACUCCCAUUUUCUGUGUGGCCCCAUCAAACCUUUCUCCAGUUGCUCCUUUCCCUCAUCAUCUGCUGGUUUGGGGUGGUGCUAUGCCAAGGAAGAUUUUCUCUUCUUCCUUCUCUUGUCCAUUUCUGUAUUAUACUCUACGUUUAGGGCAUCUCCACUUUUCCUCUCUUCUGGGUCAGCCAUCUUGACUUGCACAGGAAGAAGAUUCCAUAGCGUUUGGUCCUCAGCUACUAACUCCAGAACCAGUAAGCCUUCUGUAAGGAAGCUUCCCUUCGUGCUGUGGCCGCUGAAGCCUAUUUCCUAUGCCUCUUUCUUCAGAGCAGCUUUCAAAACAGCUGGUUACCAUCCCCUAGGUUAAUCCUUCCUAGACAGUACUUCAAAAACAUUAUAUCAUUUUCCAGUCUUUUUUUGUCCGGCAUGAGUUAUAGAACUUCCUUUAGCUUUUUCUCACAAGGCGUAUUAUCCAGCCCUUUAAUAAGCAGCGUGGUAUAAUUGAAAGAAUAUGGGCUUCAGAGUCAGACCUGAGUCUGAAUCAGAGUCAUGUUACUCACUGGCUGCUUGACCCCAGUCAGAGCUCCUAACUUCCCUGAACGCAGUUUCCUUGUCUGUUAGGUGGGACUUGAUGAGAGAGAACUAUCUUACAGAGGCCGCGACAGAAGGUCUGAUGCAGCAUGGUCUCCAUGUUGUGAUGGAUGUUGGUUCCCUUCCUUCCCCCUCCUCUCUUUGCUCCUCCACCACAUUGGGUCAGUUUCCUACAUUACAAGCCUAGAUCUGAAUAAACUCUUGAAACUUUGAAAUAAUUCUGUCUUAUCACUUCUGAGAUGCCCCCCCUUAAUUAUUUUUUGUUGUUUUUAACAUUUUCAUAUCACUUCCAUACCUUCUACAAACACACACACACACACACACACACACACGUACAUGUGCAUAAGCGCACAUGCAUACACAUCCGCCUGCACAUGUGAGUGUGUGUGUGUGGGCACACACACAUGUGAGUGUGUGUGUGUGUUCCUCCUAGCAACCAGCUCUGAAGAGAGAUCAUGCAAGAGGAGAAAUAUUCAAGGUAGUCCCUUAACUGGUAUUGGCAGAGUUAAGAUCAUUCCCAUCUCAUGUUCACCUUAAGGAAUUUCUAAAGUUAGUUCUUUCUUUGUGGUCUUUUUCAGCAUUAGGGACCCAUUAGAUGUCAUUCAGAGAUCAUUCCAGGCUAAGUUAUUCAUUCUCAGUCACACGGCCAUCUUAGGUGGCACCCUUUGUGCAGAGCUGCCAAAGGCACCCACAGAGGUAGAACUGUGCCUGGGAAGACAGCUUAGAGCACUGAGGCUGGCCGAGGAGUCAGGUGCUUCUAGGCCUGUGGUAGCUAACCACAGUGUUGGCUCUGGCAGGACUUCAUUUCAUAAAUAAGACGCUCAAAACACGCCUGCUGCCCUUGCCUCUUCUGUGCCCUCUGACGCCAACCAGCCAUUCCUCCUUCCCCGUCCCCUAGAACUGUUCCCCGCCACACACACACACACACACACACACACACACCGUGUUAAUAGCACUGCAUCCCUCACUCAAGGUAGCUCCAAUUCUACCACACCUGGCUACUUCUUUGUGUGGCUUUUGAUGCCUGCCGUGAUGUGCACAGUUUGAGGGGUUCCCCUUUCUUUGUGUCUACACAUUGUGCAACUGGAGAUUCCAUAAAACAGCCUUUACGAAAGUCUGUUAACAGGGUCUUAACAAGUGGGGAACUGGCAAGAGCUUGUGUCAGCGUGGCUUAUAUUCCCCCUUUGCCACAUGAAUGAGUGUCUCAGCAGACUUCACUGGGGCAGUGGGCGGGAGGAGAACCACUGGAUAACGAACAGAACACAUGGGUGUUUUUUAUGGGAAGAAAGAGUUCUGUAUUUACAAGGACUCGGGGGCCAUCUUCCUGAGCUACACUCCUGACACCUCCCUCCUCAGACAGAGGAGGACGGAGACUGAGUCACAUUCUUCCGAGGUUGGUCAAAUCAGUUGUGCUGGCUGAGGAAGCUGUAAGACUUGGCUGGCUGAGGCUCAUUUCCCACAAUGCAUGGGCAAUGCCUAAAUUGGUCUCCGGCAGUUGGAAGACAGUUGGGAAGCAAAGGGAUGAAAAGCAAAGAAAGGGGUGGGAAGGAGGAAUUGGGAAAUGUGAAGAUGAGCCAAGGAAAACCUUCCUGACAUCUUAACGUCCUACAGAUGGGUCUUUUGAUGGAUAUGCCAUUAAACUUACCUUGUCUGGACUUUUCUUCCUUUAUUUCUCUUGUGCCUGGUGAGGCCAGAGCGUCAACACAUUUGUGCCUGGGAACACAAUAAUAUAAAAACCAUUGAGUUAAGUGAACAGUGAAGGCUAGUAAACAGUCGCUUAACUCCAUCCUAAAGCAUUUCUUUAUGCUCUUAGAAAUCGGUAGGCAGGGGCUGGGGAUUUAGUUCAGCGGUAGAGCGCUUGCCUAGGAAGCGCAAGGCCCUGGGUUCGGUCCCCAGCUCCGGGAAAAAAAAGAACCAAAAAAAAAAAAAUCAUUAGACAGCAUGUGAUAGGAAGCACUCUCUUUGAAUAGAGUCCCCUAGAAAAUGUUCUUAUUUAUGACUUGUCCUUGAGUAUGACAGUAGAUGGAUGGCUUUGAGGCUUUGAUGCAGUUAAUAUCCAGAAUAGUUCUUUGGCUAUGGAAAUUUAAAAAAAAAAAAUCUGGAAGGGCCUGGUGUGGUGGUGCACGCCUUUAAUUCCAGCACUCAGGAGGCAGAGGCAGGUGGAUCUCUGGGAGUUUGAGAUCAGCCUGAGGCUGUGUACAAAGAUCCAAUACCCCAUCCCCACCUCACCCCCACCCCUGCCACCCAUACACACCCACAAAUUGAACUGGAAAAAUAAUGUAGAGAAAGAGCAAGGAAGUAUUCAUUGCUCUUUGUGAGGAUGUGAGGAGGGGGUACAGAGGAGAAAGAAGAGUGGGGGUGGGGAGCUGCUGAAACUGACCCCAGAACUUGGGCACUAGGUCUUAUAAGGCCGUGAGGAGGUAGCCCGCUGAGGCUAUUGUGGGAGGAGAGAUAAUAUCCAGUCCUGACAUGUCUGUUGUAGAUGGCAGUGAAAUAUCUACACUACAUACUUUGUAGGCAUAAAGAAAUAUGGGCCUGAAGAGAGGAUGAAAGGUCAGGGCUAGCGAUAGGAGUCUGGGACUCAUCUAUGAUGGGUGCUAAUUGAAUCCAUGCGGGUGCGCAGAGGGAAUAUCUAGAGGAGGAGGAGAGCAGGCAGCCCCUGGAUGAGCCCUGGAGUACUAAGUAAUACUGCAGAAAGGAAGAAGAGGAAGUGAGCAGACCCAGGCAGAUGACCGUAUCUGAGAAGGCGAAGCGCCAUGGCCCCACCACUGAGGCCCUGAGAAUGUUGCUUGCCCAUUGCUGUGGUCCCUUAGAGUAUGCCUGAUGGCCUUCCUAAAAGCCAAGGGCAAAAACCAAGAACCUUGGUAUUUUGUUUUUCAGACAGGCGAGGCGGGGGCCAGAAUCUAGCUGGGUGCGUCAUGUGACCUAGCGCAGUGCCUUAGCACUGGUUUAAUGAAUGGCUGAGUGAGGGAAUGAGUGCAUGCACGGAGCAGAUGAGGUGGCACCAAUCAUGUUUGUGGUUUUAUUUAAUGAAUGCGAAGAUAAAUACCUGCCUAUAAACAUCACCAAACGAUCCAAAGUGUUUAAAAGACACAAAGGAGAAAUGGAGUUGAGGAAAGCAGACGUGGCAGGGGAAGGAAAGAGAGGCGAGCACAAAGAGGAAACAGGGCCAAGGUUUCCCUAGCCUGUGCAGUCCCUGGAUCCGCCAUCUUAAUAUAUGGAUUGCCAUUGGUUCGUUUAAGUAUCUACCUGUUUCUUGUUCCUUCUUUCUCUGAUGGGCUUUUAAGCUUCUUAGGGAAGACACAAAUUACUUCUGAGUAUCUCUGUAGACUGUAAUGAGGCUACCCAAGCAUUACCCUUCACUAAGUGACAAGCCGAUGGAGAGGAAUGUUUUCACUAAUUACCAAAAGUGAAUAAUUACCCAGAAAAUUAAUCAGGGAGAACUUCCGUUUUGAUAAAGAAAAUGAAAGCACUCAAUUUCCCGCCCUCCCAACUCAGAGACAAAGCUUUUAAAUUGGGAUUUUUCUAAGUAAAUGAUUUCCAAAGGAGGUAUCGGGUGUGUUGCUUGUGGCAAAUUCUUCUGAGUCAGCUCUGCAAAAUGUCCUUUCUGAUCAUGGAAAACUGAAGGAUCUGAAAUAUACAUUGUUUCUCCUUCUCUCUUUGUGAGUGAUCUAACAAUAGCAGUCUUGAAGAACAUCACUGUUCAUUUAAUUUUAUGACCUGAGGAUUAGUAAAGGAAAGGAAGCUUGGCUGGUGCAGUAAGAGGUGCAUUAGGAAGACUCAAGAAGGGGCCUUUGGAGAUCAGUAGUGUCCGGUUAGUAAUUUUGAGCCUGGGAAACAUUUCAAUAAUUUGUCUACAAGGUCUCUUUUAUUCUGGACACCUGGACACUUGGAAAACUCACUCUCUCUCUCUCUCUCUGUCUCUCUCUCUCUCUCUCUCUCUCACACACACACACACACACACACACACACACACACACACACACACACACACAA